rnacentral:rRNA from 1 species
AUUGAACGCUGGCGGCAGGCCUAACACAUGCAAGUCGAGCGAGCGGCGGACGGGUGAGUAAUGCCUGGGCAUUGCACAGCCGAGGGGGAUAACAGUUGGAAACGACUGCUAAUACCGCAUACGAUUUGAGUUCCCAGUUGGGAUUAGCUAGUUGGUGAGGUACUGGCUCACCAAGGCGACGAUCCCUAGCUGGUCUGGGAGGAUGAUCAGCAAAACUGGAACUGAGACACGGUCCAGACUCCUACGGAAGGCAGCAGUGGGGAAUAUUGCACAAUGGGGGAAACCCUGAUGCAGCCAUGCCGCGUGUGUGAAGAAGGCCUCCGGGUGGUAAAGCACUUUAAGCGAGGAGGCGUUAACUACAGAAGAAGCACCGGCUAACUCCGUGCCAGCAGCCGCGGUAAUUC